rnacentral:rRNA from 1 species
UACGUAGGGUGCGAGCGUUAAUCGGAAUUACUGGGCGUAAAGGGUGCGCAGGCGGCCGGGUGUGUCGGGUGUGAAAGCUCGAGGCUUAACCUCGAAACUGCGCCCGAAACUAUCCGGCUAGAGUACUGGAGAGGGAGGCGGAAUUCACGGUGUAGCAGUGAAAUGCGUAGAUAUCGUGAGGAACACCAAUGGCGAAGGCAG